rnacentral:hammerhead_ribozyme from 1 species
AUCGAGCCGAGGAGUCCUAAAUAGGACGGAACGCGCGUUCUCGUU